rnacentral:rRNA from 1 species
UGAACGCUGGCGGCAGGCCUAACACAUGCAAGUCGAACGGAUCCUUCGGGAUUAGUGGCGGACGGGUGAGUAACGCGUGGGAACAUACCCUUUGGUACGGAAUAGCCUCGGGAAACUGGGAGUAAUACCGUAUGUGGUCGAGAGACGAAAGAUUUAUCGCCAAAGGAUUGGCCCGCGUUGGAUUAGGUAGUUGGUGGGGUAAUGGCCUACCAAGCCGACGAUCCAUAGCUGGUUUGAGAGGAUGAUCAGCCACACUGGGACUGAGACACGGCCCAGACUCCUACGGGAGGCAGCAGUGGGGAAUCUUAGACAAUGGGGGAAACCCUGAUCUAGCCAUGCCGCGUGAUCGAUGAAGGCCUUAGGGUUGUAAAGAUCUUUCAGGUGGGAAGAUAAUGACUGUACCACCAGAAGAAGCCCCGGCUAACUCCGUGGCCAGCAG